rnacentral:rRNA from 1 species
CCUACGGGAGGCAGCAGUGAGGAAUAUUGGUCAAUGGACGGAAGGCUGAACCAGCCAUGCCGCGUGCAGGAUGACUGCUCUAUGAGUUGUAAACUUCUUUUGUCUUAGGGUAAACACACCUACGUGUAGGUGCUUGAAAGUAUAAUACGAAUAAGGAUCGGCUAACUCCGUGCCAGCAGCCGCGGUAAUACGGAGGAUCCAAGCGUUAUCCGGAUUUAUUGGGUUUAAAGGGUGCGUAGGCGGGUUGAUAAGUUACAGGUGAAAUACCGGUGCUCAACACCGGACCUGCCUUUAAAACUGUUGAACUAGAGAGGAGUAGAGGUAGGCGGAAUGUAUGGUGUAGCGGUGAAAUGCUUAGAGAUCAUACAGAACACCGAUUGCGAAGGCAGCUUACCAACCUAUAUCUGACGUUGAGGCACGAAAGCGUGGGUAGCGAACAGGAUUAGAUACCCUUGUAGUC